GACGAACGCUGGCGGCGUGCUUAACACAUGCAAGUCGAACGGAAAGGCCCUGCUUUUGUGGGGUGCUCGAGUGGCGAACGGGUGAGUAACACGUGAGUAACCUGCCCUUGACUUUGGGAUAACUUCAGGAAACUGGGGCUAAUACCGGAUAGGAUCUCCUGCUGCAUGGUGGGGGUUGGAAAGUUUCGGCGGUUGGGGAUGGACUCGCGGCUUAUCAGCUUGUUGGUGGGGUAGGGGCUUACCAAGGCUUUGACGGGUAGCCGGCCUGAGAGGGUGACCGGCCACAUGGGGACUGAGGUAGGGCCCAGACUGCAACGGGAGGCAGCAGUGGAGAAUAUUGCACAAUGGGGGGAAGCCUGAUGCAGCAACGCCGCGUGCGGGAUGACGGCCUUCGGGUUGUAAACAGAUUUCGCCUGUGACGAAGCGUGAGUGACGGUAAUGGGUAAAGAAGCACCGGCUAACUACGUG
rnacentral:rRNA from 1 species